UGGGGAAUCUUCCGCAAUGGACGAAAGUCUGACGGAGCAACGCCGCGUGAGUGAUGACGGCCUUCGGGUUGUAAAGCUCUGUUAAUCGGGACGAAAGGCCUUCUUGCGAAUAGUUAGAAGGAUUGACGGUACCGGAAUGGAAAGCCACGGCUAACUACGUGCCAGCAGCCGCGGUAAUACGUAGGUGGCAAGCGUUGUCCGGAAUUAUUGGGCGUAAAGCGCGCGCAGGCGGAUUGGUCAGUCUGUCUUAAAAGUUCGGGGCUUAACCCCGUGAUGGGAUGGAAACUGCCAAUCUAGAGUGUCGGAGAGGAAAGUGGAAUUCCUAGUGUAGCGGUGAAAUGCGUAGAUAUUAGGAAGAACACCAGUGGCGAAGGCGACUUUCUGGACGAAAACUGACGCUGAGGCGCGAAAGCCAGGGGAGCGAACGGGAUUAGAUACCCCGGUAGUCCUGGCCGUAAACGAUGGGUACUAGGUGUAGGAGGUAUCGACCCCUUCUGUGCCGGAGUUAACGCAAUAAGUACCCCGCCUGGGGAGUACGACCGCAAGGUUG
rnacentral:rRNA from 1 species